CAUGUGUUUAUGGCACAAUCUUUUCUUUUUUUUUUGUGAAAGAACGUUCCUUGUUUAAAUCAUCUAAGAACAACUUUCCUUGGCUUUUGAAAUUCAUUACCUGAGUAAAUGUGAUAUUCAGAGAACAUUGCCUGAAGCAUUAAGAUAGUUUUACUGUUGCUGUGAUUUUUUUUAGGUCGUAAUGCUGAAGUGCUUUUGAUUAUGAAUGGUUGAGGUUGUCUGCUCUCAUUUGUCAAGAGAUGUAUUAAGAUAUUCCUUGCUUGCUUUUUCAACAUCAUUCUGCAGGUCGAAGGUGCUUAAGGAUCUGAGGGUUAUGCAUCUGCAGCUUUUGAUCCCGAUGGUCUCAUCCCGGGUACUGGCACCUCGAAUGCCGAUGUUAAAACAUGGGAUGUGAAAACGCGGGUGCUAUGUUUACAAUCCGUUGGAGAUGGAAAGGGAAUUUUAUUGCUUUGGCUGGGUCCACAUUUGUUUCUCGGUCGAAUGGGCAUUUUCACCACACUUGUUUCUUAGUCUUCAUGCUUCCAUGUAGUAUAGGAUAUGAUAUGGCAAUCUUGCAUCCUGCCCUGACGAUUUGCAUGUGCAGUAUUCCAUGGCCCAUUUUCAGCUUUUGUUCCUCAUGGUUAGUUUAGUCACUAUAUGGCAAUUCGGCAUGUUGUUAGAAAAAGGAGGGAAGUUGUUAGUGGCAGAACUCCAUAUGCCGUCAUGUAACUGGCAUACUCUUUUUUUAUUCAUCGGAAUGUUUUAGUAAAUUUAUUUUAUCACGGUAUAGCUCAAAAAUCUUGCUCAAUCGUUUUGAGAUCAUUCAAUUGCCUCCACGUUUCUGCCUGCUGCUCACAUUGUUAUUCAUGCGCAUUUUUCAUUCCUCUUUUCGUCCGUUUUAGGUGGGGGACAUGCUUUUGUAACCGUCUCUCAUUUUGAAACAGGCAAAUGUUAUGACCUUUUCUGGCCAUGCCAGGGCAAUUACUGCUAUAUCUUUCUCUAAGAGUGGAUACUUCCGUGCGGCACAUGUUCCUGUGAUCUGUCUUCUAUUAUCAAUGGAGAUUUAGACAUGCCAUCUGACUUAGAAAUUUAUUUCAUUGAGUGCAUCUCAGGAUGGGGUUAUGUUGGGAUCUGCGGAAGUUGAAGAACUUUUGCACAUGUUCAGCAUAUGACAAGACACGGGGACAAGUUCUCGUAUGACAUCCUCUUAGACCAGCUUGUUGUAGUGAAAGUAGAUCUGGGAUGGCAGUGAGCAUUAGAUGCGGUUCUGUUUGCUUGGAUUUGUUCUGAAGAGCGAACUUUUUCUAUGGAACUCACUCAAAGAAGUUGACUGUGCUCAUAGUGGAUGUUAUCUUGCACUUGCCGGCUCAAUAUAAGGCGAGUUUCUAUAUGGUAGAUUUUGUACUCGACUUGGGAGAAUAAUAAGCAGGAUGCUGCUUGCCAUGUUAUUGCAAGACUUAAGAAGGAAAGGGAUGAAGCCCGAUCAUUACUUGCACAGGCUGAAAGACAGAUUACCCGUGACAGUAUCUUCUGAUGUUGCAGUGAAUGCUCCUGCCUUGAGCAAUGGGAGAAAAGCUUCUCUGGAUGAAGAGUUGGGCUAUGCUGGGAAGAAAAUCCGACCUGGUAUUUCUGCAAGCAUCAUUGCUGAGAUAACAGAUUGUUACUUAACUCUUUCUCAACAGCAUUAAAAGCGACAGCAAUAAUGCAGGUAGGAACAUGGGCUAUCAAUGCCGAGUGUGCUAGAGGACAAAAUGGACGGCGAUACAAAGCUCUUUUUGAUCAGAGUCUCGGAGAUAAUAUAUUAUAUUGAUGCUUUGGGAAGCCAAUACCUUAUUCGCCUCUUAAUUGUUUUGUCAAAAUACUGCUGUAUCUUGCUUGUGGAGUACACGUACAUUUUGUUGUUGUUUUGUUUGGAGACACGUACAUUGAGCAGUGGCCUUUUUUUGGUAAUAGGAGCACUGAAAAUGCCGAGCAAAGAAAAGGUGCAAAAGUAUUUUUGUUUGGGAGUGACUUGACGAUUUUUUUCCCUAAAAUGCUGUGGUAAUUGUGAAAUGUUGGGUCAACUAUACAAUACAAUCAUGAGGGGCCCGGAUGAUUUGAAUUGAUUGGGCAUUAUGCAUCCUGCUAUUGGAUUUAUCAAACUCCAGGCCAGAAUGUAUGUUUUCCCCCUCAAGGUUGUGAGAUGUUAAAAAUGCCUGGCAGCUGAAUCUUUUUUGAACUCUUUUCUUGAAGAAUCUUUUUCUUCCGUCCCUGAUACAACAUGACGUACUGACCUACUGAGCAUGUGAAUCUUCUGCAUAUAGAACUCCGCAUUUCUUUACUCUAGUAGCACUUAUGACAAGGAAGGGGAAAAGAGAAGAAAAUAAAUAAAUUUGGUGAAUAUCUUCCAUUUUGUAUGUGGUCGGCUCUGAAUACAUUGUGCUCUUCAUUCUAUCCAUAAUGAUUGCAA